rnacentral:misc_RNA from 1 species
UCCGGCUUAUCACCGGCGGUUUCUUUAGAGUGCCCAACUAAAUGAUGGCAACUAAAGACGAGGGUUGCGCUCGUUGCGGGACUUAACCCAACAUCUCACGACACGAGCUGACGACAGCCAUGCACCACCUGUAUAGCGCCCAAAAGGACCUUAUAUCUCUAUAAGUUUUCGCUAUAUGUCAAACCUAGGUAAGGUUCUUCGCGUUGCAUCGAAUUAAUCAGCAUGCUCCACCGCUUGUGCGGGCCCCCGUCAAUUCCUUUGAGUUUCAACCUUGCGGUCGUACUCCCCAGGCGGGGUACUUCCUGCGUUAGCGUCGGCACUCAGAGGGUCGCUCCCCCAAGCACCUAGUGCCCAUCGUUUACGGCGUGGACUAC